rnacentral:tRNA from 1 species
UGGGGGCUUAGCUUAGUUGGUAGAGCGUCUGAUUUGCAUUCAGAAGGUCAGGAGUUCGAAUCUCCUAGCCUCCAU